rnacentral:rRNA from 1 species
AACGGCCAUACCAUACUGAAUAUACCGGUUCUCGUUAGAUCACCGAAGUCACAUGAUUGGGCGCGGUCAGUACUUGGGUGGGUGACCACCUGGGAACACCGAGUGCCGUU